AAUGAACGUUGGCGGCGUGGAUUAGGCAUGCAAGUCGCGCGACAAGGAACCUUCGGGUUCUGGAGGAGCGGCAAAACGGGGUAGUAAGGCAUCGGAACGUACCCUCUUGUUGGGAAUAGCCGCGGGAAACUGCGAGUAAUGCCCAAUAAUCCCUACGGGGCAAAGGUCCGCCGCAGGAGGAGCGGCCGAUGUGAUACCAGCUAGUUGGUGAGGUAAUGGCUCACCAAGGCUUAGACGUCUAGGGGGUGUGAGAGCAUGGCCCCCACCCACUGGGACGUGAGACACUGCCCACGACACCUACGGGUGGGCUGCAGUCGAGAAUCUUUGGUCGAAUAGGGCGGCAAGCCUCGACCAAGACGACGCUGCGUGCGGGAGU
rnacentral:rRNA from 1 species